GUUUCGGCUUGUUAGGACGCAUUUCGUUACGUUGUUUCUUGGAGCUACAUAGUGCAAAAAAUUUUUCCAUUAAGAACUGCCCGUUAUUUGUCAUUAUUAUAUUAUAAUUAAUAAUAUAUUUUAAGAAAAAAAGCCACUCACGGGAGCAGAACGUGCAAAACGAUUCAGAGAGAAUCUUAAAAAGGAUCCCGAAAAAUAUAAUGCAUAUAAGAAAAAACAAAUAGAAAGAGUAAAAAAAUGCCAAAAAAAAAUUAAUAAAACCAAGUAGCGAAAAAGAGACGAUCACAGUACUGCUGGUUUUUUCGGCUGCUGGUGACUGUGGUUCCGAUGGUUGUAUUCCCGUACGUACGUCCACCUAAAGAGGUGAUUGAUAGCAUACCCCCAAACUGGUUCCUUGGGCGAUCUGAAUCCGGGUGGAUGUAAAGCGAUAUAUUUUUCGAAUAUGUAGCCAAUGGUGUCAACAACUGGUUAAUUGAAAAAGAGAUAAAAAGACCAGUUCUCCUUUUGGUAGAUGGACACAAAUCCCAUUUAACCAUGGCACUCAGUGAAUUUUGUGACAGUAAUGGCAUUAUACUAUAUGCCUUGCCUGCAAACACUACGCACAUUUUACAGCCAGCAGACGUGAGCGUAUUCCGGCUAUUAAAAGUGGAAUGGCGAAAAACCGUAAAAGAAUGGCAACGCAAGGAAGAAAACUUUAAUCGAUCUCUUACGAAAGCUACAUUUUGUCCUCUGUUGGAGCAAGUGUUAGAAAAAGAUAUGACACAAACCAUAAAAAAUGUUUUUAGAAAAUGUGGCCUUUAUCCUUUUAACCCAGAUGCCGUUGAUUUUACAAAAUGUAUCAUGAAUACAAUAGAAAAUUUUGAAAAAGAUUCUAUUGGGCAGGGUGAUAUAGACAUAACAAUAAAAGUUUUAGAAUACUUCAAAAAAUCAUUCUCAGAAAACUGAAUUGAUAUUAACCAAAUUAUCAACAUUAUAAAAGAAUCUGCUGUGAAUGAAAUAGAAAAUAUUAACGAUACAGUGUUAGACCAAAGAACUACUUUAAAUGAACUUGAUAUAAAUAUACCCACAACCUUACAAGGACACGCUCAAGCAAAUAUCACAGAUUGUAAUACAAUAGAAAAUCAUAUAGUCGACUCGGAAGGAAUUUUAUUAACAGAGCCCAAAAAAAAUGAUUUUUCUUUAAGUGAAAGCUUAUUAAAAAACAUAGCCGUAGCUAAUGAUUUCAGUUUUUCACUGCUGGAAAAUCCUACUCGCCCAACCUCUGCUGCAUCGUCAACAUCCACUUAAAGUUACCAAAUAAGAUCUGGAUCCAACACGCCGACCAAUAGAGGUGGUGUAUCGCCAUGUUUCAGAAAACACUUAUUUACACCUAAAAGCUUAAUUUUUUCGAAAAAACGAACAAAAGAAAAUCUUCCAUCUGCGAUUUCGGCACAGUCUUGGCGAGAUAUUAUGGAACAGAAAAAUAAAGCUAAACAAGAACUAGACAAAAAGAAACAAGAAAGACAAAAUAAACUUAAAUUACUGAGAGAAGAGAAGGCUAAAAAGAAAGAGGAAUUGAUUAGAAAAAGAGCUGUAGCAGCUGCCAAAACAGAGAAACAGAUCAAAAAAUCCAAGAAACAGAUGAAAGAACCACCUUCAGCAACACAAUCUCACAUCAAAUGUGUUGGGUGUGAAGAAGAUUUAAUCAGUGAUGUAGAAGAAGAUGACCUUAAGAAUAUAGGAUGUGACAAAUGCCCAAGAUGGUUUCACCUUAAAUGUACAGUUCACCGUGGUAGACUAUACUCAGAAGUUGCCAAAGAAGAUUUUAUAUGCCAUGUUUGCUAUGUGUAAUCAUUACCAGUAAUAAGAAAAACCAGUAUAUGUCCCUCUCCAUCCCAGUUUAUUAUCUUCAUUUUUACAGUCAUAUCCUUAACGUCUACUAUAAAUCACAAUCUUACUGAAAUAAUCUGUUGUUUAAAAAUAUUAGCAAUUGAUUAUAAAAGAUCGUUAAAAUGCUAUGAUUUCAUAAAGAUAAUAAAAGUACUAAAAGGCUGAUAUUCGGGGCAACCACCCUAUGCUAGACAAAUUGGUUUCUACGCUUUAUGCAUAAUGGAUACAAAAAGCAACCAACCAUAUUUUUAUACAUGGACUGAAGAACAGGCUGGAAAAGGUAGUUUAGAAGUCUCAUCAGCUUUAAUGCAACAUUUGGAAAAACAGGAUUUGUCAAACAUCAAAUUACUACGUUUAUUUAGCGAUGG